rnacentral:rRNA from 1 species
GGUUGAUCCUGCCAGUAGUCAUAUGCUUGUCUUAAAGACUAAGCCAUGCAUGUCUAAGUAUAAGUAUUAUACAGCGAAACUGCGAAUGGCUCAUUAAAACAGUUAUAGUUUAUUCGAUUAUUUUCUCCUACAUGGAUAACCGUAGUAAUUCUAGAGCUAAUACAUGCUGUCAAACCUGACUUUUGUGGAAGGGUUGUAUUUAUUAGAUAUAAAACCAAUACCCAGCAAUGGGUUUUGUGAUGAUUCAUAAUAACUGAACGGACCGCGGCCGUGCUGCGGCGAAUCGUUCAAGU